GUCUACUCAGGGCCAAUCUGCAGGUUAAUUUAUGGCAGCGGGCACUCUGAUGAUUUGGGAUCAUUUAAGCUCAUUACUACGGCACCUGGUGCCCAGGCUGCCCCAGUAGCUUAACUGGUCAUGUGACUUGAGUGACAUCAUCACCACUUUUCCCCACUUCCUGGAUUAAUGUUUGGUGGCCUACUUUUCCUCCGAAGCCUCUGGCAGAAGAUCCUGAGGAAGCAAAGCAUAAUACCGAUAAAUAUUAGAUCCUUCACUGCACUACUGGUUACAAGGAAAGAGGAAAUAUUCCGUUUUACAGCUCAGAGAUUCAGCUCCACUUUCCUUUGGCAAAGGGAGAGGCAUUUCAAGAUAUUUGGUCCUCAACAUCUGGAAGAGAGAAAACUCUUAAUAUACGGUGUUUUAAGGAAAACUUCAGGAUGCAAGCCAACAAAUAUCAAAGAAGAUAAUGAAGGACCACAGAACCCAGUCGAGUCCAAGCACAUUUAUCUGAGGAGCCAACUCAUAUUGACCUGUUUGUGCCCCUACUCUGCCUCUUGUUCCUGAUGAAGAUAUUAUAGAGAUAAAAGCCAUAAGAAAGAUGACAAACCAUAAUUAGGUGUGUCAUGAACUGAUGUCCAGCUAGCUUCACUUUCGGUUAAAGUCUAGGGUGGACGGUGGGCAUGUUCAAUCAGCAGAUGAAGAUGAGAUCACAACGGCCAAGUUUGGGAUCCUGAAUAAGAGUUGUACUCAGCACAGGAAUUAGGGGUCUUCUAGGGAGCUGAAGAUCUGUUGAAACCUCUGCUGACUUUGGGAUGUAAAUUACAUGCUUCAGGAAUCUCUCUUGUCUCAGUCUUUCAGCUUGAUGCCAUUGCUGCACAGAAGGAAAUCUUUGAAGGAGCAGCUAUAUUAAUCUCGAGGCUGGCUGCUCUGUUUCACAGAGAGCACGCUUUUGAGAAGCAUGUUGGAGUAGAGGUUAAGAGUGGAGAUUCUGGAGCCAGAUAGCACAGAUUAGCCCUGCGCUAACAUCUGCUGCCAAUCCUCUUCUUUUCACUGAGGAAGACUGGCCCUGAGCUAACAUCCAUGCCCAUCUUCCCCCACUUGAUAUGUGGCAUCCCUACCAUAGCAUGGCUUGCCAAGUGGUGCCGCACCCAGUAUUCGAACUGGCGAACACCUAGCCGCCAAAGCAGAACAUGAGAACUUAACCACUGUGCCACUGGGCUGGCCCGAAGUGCUUUUUACAUGUGAAUGUUGUUGUAUAAAUAUUUGCAGGUAUUAUUUUCCUGCUGCAAUUAUACGUAGCGGAUGUUGGAUGUUUUGUCUGCACUGCAUCCCUUCCUCCAUCUAUUGCUAAAGAGUGUUAAAAAUUUCCUUCUGAGGAGCAGCUCUCAUACACUCUGUGUGUCUUGGCUCGACUACCCUGCCCUCCCCUAGCCAUGAGACUUGUCACACUGUAAAUAAAGUCACACUUUAAAUUAAGCAAUACAUCAGGUCCCUAAAUUUUAGGGAUAUAAUUUGUGUGUGUGUGUGUGUGAGGAAGAUUGGCCCUGAGCUAACAUCUGUGCCAAUCUUCCUCUAUUUUAUAUGGGAUGCCACCACAGCAUGGCUUAUCAAGCAGUGCUAGAUCUGUGCCCAGGAUUCAAACCUGUGAACCCUGGGCUCCCACAGUGGAGCACACUAACAUAAUGAAUAUGCCACCCGGCUGGCCCCAGGAAUAUAAUUUUUAACUACCGUCACUUACCUGAUAUAAUCAUUAAAUUUAAAAUUCUGUGCCAUGCUAUCUGUGCUGAAAUUCAAACCACUUUAAAAUGUGACAGCUAAACAUAAUGCAAGCUGGUAACAGUUCUGGUACUAAAAAUUGUGGUGGUUUCUUCUGUUUACGUAACUCUUAGUACUGAAUCCUUUUCCACGAGGAUCUUGUUAAGAAGAGCAGAGUCAUGCUUCACCCUUAACAUCUACACCCUGUGACAUCAGAUUUUGAAGGGCUUUAUGUGAACUGGCAUAUUGUAAUUUUUCUAAGCAUUUAAAAAAAGAUAACAGAAUUGUUAUCUACAGUUUGUUACCUAACAGUUUGUUUAGGUACUAAUUCUGUUCAGAAAAAUAAGCCAGGAAAAGUUGAUGGUAUUCAUCAGGUUUUAACUGAGUGGA
rnacentral:lncRNA from 1 species